rnacentral:rRNA from 1 species
GGAUYCCCCUAGUAACUGCGAGUGAAGCGGGAAAAGCUCAAAUUUAAAAUCUGGCGGUCUUUGGCCGUCCGAGUUGUAAUCUAGAGAAGUAAUGCCCGUGCUGGACCGUGUAUAAGUCUCCUGGGAUGGGGCGUCAUAGAGGGUGAGAAUCCCGUCUUUGACACGGACUACCAGUGCAUUGUGGUAUGCUCUCAAAGAGUCGAGUUGUUUGGGAAUGCAGCUCAAAAUGGGUGGUAAAUUCCAUCUAAAGCUAAAUAUUGGCGAGAGACCGAUAGCGAACAAGUACCGUGAGGGAAAGAUGAAAAGAACUUUGGAAAGAGAGUUAAACAGUACGUGAAAUUGCUGAAAGGGAAACGCUUGAAGUCAGUCGCGUUGGCCAGGGAUCAGCCUUGCUUUUGCAUGGUGUACUUUCUGGUUGACGGGUCAGCAUCAAUUUUGACCGCUGGAAAAGGGCCUGGGGAAUGUGGCAGCUUCGGCUGUGUUAUAGCCCCUGGUCGCAUACAGUGGUUGGGAUUGAGGAACUCAGCACGCCGCAAGGCCGGGUUUCGACCACGUUCGUGCUUAGGAUGCUGGCAUAAUGGCUUUAAGCGACCCGUCUUGAAACACGGACCAAGGAGUCUAACAUGCCUGCGAGUAUUUGGGUGGAAAACCCGAGUGCGCAAUGAAAGUGAAAGUUGAGAUCCCUGUCGUGGGGAGCAUCGACGCCCGGACCAGAACUUUUGGGACGGAUCCGCGGUGGAGCAUGUAUGUUGGGACCCGAAAGAUGGUGAACUAUGCCUGAAUAGGGUGAAGCCAGAGGAAACUCUGGUGGAGGCUCGUAGCGAUUCUGACGUGCAAAUCGAUCGUCAAAUUUGGGUAUAGGGGGCGAAA